rnacentral:rRNA from 1 species
CGAACGGGGAUGCAUUAAGAAGGAGUGCUUGCCUUUCGGAAGGAUGUAUCUUAGUGGCGGACGGGUGAGUAACGCGUGGGUAACCUGCCCCAUACCGGGGGAUACCACCUGGAAACAGGUGCUAAUACCGCAUAAGCGCACGGGAGCGCAUGCUCCUGUGUGAAAAACUCCGGUGGUAUGGGAUGGACCCGCGUCUGAUUAGCCAGUUGGCAGGGUAACGGCCUACCAAAGCGACGAUCAGUAGCCGGCCUGAGAGGGUGGACGGCCACAUUGGGACUGAGACACGGCCCAAACUCCUACGGGAGGCAGCAGUGGGGAAUAUUGCACAAUGGGGGAAACCCUGAUGCAGCGACGCCGCGUGAGUGAAGAAGUAUUUCGGUAUGUAAAGCUCUAUCAGCAGGAACGAGACAAGACAGUACCUGACUAAGAAGCCCCGGCUAACUACGUGCCAGCAGCCGCGGUAAUACGUAGGGGGCAAGCGUUAUCCGGAAUCACUGGGUGUAAAGGGAGCGUAGACGGCUGUGCAAGCCUGAAGUGAAAGGCGGGGGCCCAACCCCCGGACUGCUUUGGGAACUGUACGGCUGGAGUGCAGGAGAGGUAAGUGGAAUUCCUAGUGUAGCGGUGAAAUGCGUAGAUCUUAGGAAGAACACCAGUGGCGAAGGCGGCUUACUGGACUGUAACUGACGUUGAGGCUCGAAAG